GAUGAAGAACGCAGCGAAAUGCGAUAAGUAAUGUGAAUUGCAGAAUUCAGUGAAUCAUCGAAUCUUUGAACGCACAUUGCGCCCAUUAGUAUUCUAGUGGGCAUGCCUGUUCGAGCGUCAUUUCAACCCUUAAGCCUAGCUUAGUAUUGGGAAUCGACUUUACUGUCGUUCCUCAAAUUCAACGGCGGAUUUAUAGCAAUCUCUGAACGUAGUAAUUUUUUUUCUCGUUUUUGAAAUACUAUAAACCUCAGCCGCUAAACCCCCAAUUUCUUAUGGUUGACCUCGGAUCAGGUAGGAAUACCCGCUGAACUUAAGCAUAUCAAUAACGGAGGA
rnacentral:misc_RNA from 1 species